CAAAGGGAUUUCACCUCGUCCUUGAGAGCAACACGGGGAGCGCGAGCGAGCGGGCGAGCGAGAGACGGGGGGAGAGAGAGGGACACGCGCGCGCACACACACACACACCGGCACACACGCACACACACAGACACACACACACAGAGUGAAAAAGGCGAGCCACCAAAACCCAUCUCCAGUCUCCUCCCGGGGGCCCCCAGCCCGCCUCUGUGCCACUUUGCAUCCCACGCCGGAGGAGGCAUUAACGAGACCGGGUAAGGUGGUGCUGCAUUCUUACAACCCUAAAAUCCAUCUGCUCUUAACACACCGUCAAAAAGAGGGGGAAAUGCAUCUCCGAGGGAGUGCUCGAGAGAAGAUAAUGGAAUGGUCUGAUGUAAUCCCAUACAAAUUAUUCCUCAUGAUGUGAAAAUGCUUUUACAGGGACCUGGGAGAUUUCUAAACUGGGCUUUUUAAACGGUCCAAGGUGUAGAGCCAUACUUCAGGAGGAUCCUCAGAAGUUUUGGACAAGCCUCCCCAAAUGUGGCAGGUGCUGUGCUGGCCAUUGGUGACCCAAAGAUGAUGAAAAAUAUGUUCCUGCCCACAAGGAGUUAGCGACCUACUGGGGUAUGUACAAUGUUUAUUCUGUUAUUUUUAAUAUGAUGCUUGUGUUAAGCAGUGUGUAGAGAGCUAAUAUGUAAAAAGAAUUUGGCAAAUAAAUUUUGCAAGUAUUUGGCACAAUUUUUCCUUUUACCGAAUGUACUAAUGCCAAAAAAUGUUGGUAAUUUGGAGAUGGUUUCUCAUAUAACCAAAUCAAUAAAAAACAGGUUCAAUUUUUGUAGAUUCUGUAGUAAUAGGGCAGAUUAAAUUUUAAAAAGCCACUGAGACAUGUCUGUACUUCCUACACUUGUGUGUAUUUGAAGGCAAAUGAAAGUAGACUAGAAAUGCCACCAAAGCACAUCACACAUUAGCAACAAUGUACAUUUCUUCUUCACACAUAAAACAUUGACUCUUCUGCUUUUUAUUGGUUACUUUAUUGAUAAUUGCUAUCUUUCAUCUUCUCCUACUUCAUCAGUUCCUCCAAUUGAGCAAAGUCUAUAUUGGGAUAAAAUGUAUCUUUCCUUCCUUAAUUAAUGUUGAUUUUUGCCAAAAUAUGUAUUUUAUUUGAGUCAUAAUAAAAAUUAUAAUAGUUUUUUCUUACAGUAACCAUGCAGGAUGCCUUGAGUAGUCCUGAAGAACUAAAUAUAGUAAAUGUUCAUCACUGCAGGAUUCUGAGGAGGCAGGCAGGAUACAUGCGUGAUUCUCCUUCCCAUCUUUGCACAGAACCUAUACUCGUGCACUGCAUCUGGUUUUUCUCAGAAAUUACGUACUCUACGGCUGCCCAUCCUAUUCAAGAAUGAGGCAAUAGAAAAGCAUUUGCAAAAGUUAGUUACAAAUGUGGGGCUUGACGUUGAGCUAGCUUUCCUCUUGCUGAUGACAUGAUUCCUGUUUGAAUCUGUUGACAAGAUUCUGAAAGCUGAACAGAGAAUUCUGGCACUGCACUGGGUAGGAAAAAGCAUUUCAAGAAAUAGAUAAUAUCAAGGACAUCAGGACACCGGGAGUGGGAGAGAUUGGACUGGGAGACUCAGCAGGUCAGGACAUUUACAUUACCAUUUGCUGGUCAUUCUUUUGCCAUCAGUUUUACAAUUCUCAAAUCUCUUGCCACUUGCUUAUUUCU
rnacentral:lncRNA from 1 species